CCUACGGGAGGCAGCAGUGAGGAAUAUUGGUCAAUGGACGAGAGUCUGAACCAGCCAAGUAGCGUGAAGGAUGACUGCCCUAUGGGUUGUAAACUUCUUUUAUAAAGGUAUAAAACGAGGCACGUGUGCCUUUUUGCAUGUACUUUAUGAAUAAGGAUCGGCUAACUCCGUGCCAGCAGCCGCGGUAAUACGGAGGAUCCGAGCGUUAUCUGGAUUUAUUGGGUUUAAAGGGAGCGUAGAUGGGUUGUUAAGUCAGUUGUGAAAGUUUGCGGCUCAACCGUAAAAUUGCAAUUGAUACUGGCAGUCUUGAGUACAGUUGAGGUAGGCGGAAUUCGUGGUGUAGCGGUGAAAUGCUUAGAUAUCACGAAGAACCCCGAUUGCGAAGGCAGCUUACUAAACUGUGACUGACAUUGAUGCUCGAAAGCGCGGGUAUCGAACAGGAUUAGAUACCCGAGUAGUC
rnacentral:rRNA from 1 species